GUGAAUCAUACUGCACAUUUUGCCUUCCUUCCAAAGAGUGUGGGAUGGAAAGGCAGGAAAACAGAGUAAAUUCAUUGUACAGAAAUCUGAUAAAGAUUACCAUCCGAUGAUCAAGGUUCUCAUUGACAGUAAAAAAAAGAGAAUGCUAAAAAGAUGAAAAUAGGAGAUGUCUCUUCUAGUGUGUAUUAAGAAGAUAAGUACUCUGGAAUGUCAAGUUGUUUCACCACAGCAACUCCUAAAUUUCAUAGAAUAUAACUGAUGAGUUGGUUGUUAAUAACUAAAUUUAGAUGAGUACUUGAGUCAAAAAGAUGUAUCCACAGACAUGUGAAUCAUUACUGCGAAGUGAAGACUAGGAAACUUAACUUCUUGUGCUCAGUCCUACGGUCUUUUCACAACACUCUACUUCUACUCCGGAAUAAUUUUUCAAGACAAAGACUGCUGGCCAUAGUGAGACCUAAACCCAAGUCUGAAGCUACCUGUGAAAAUGAUGGCUGUCCUACUGGAAAGAUCAGGAUAAUAAAAUCUAUGAUUUGCAACCACAAGUCUGUGAGAUGCUAUCUCUCAGAAUAGCAUGCCUAAAUGCCACCUGUAAAAACAGCAGGAAAGCAAUAUAGUGAGGAACAAAACAGCAGGACUCCUGCUUUGGCUCAUUGCUCAUUUUAAAUGGCUCAGUAAGUCACAAGAGUUGUCAGUGCUUCCUCACUUAGCUUUACAUCAUUUGUUUACAG